CUCUCGGUCGUCUAGUUGGUUUAUGGCGUCGGACUGUAAAUCCGAAUGUCGCGCGUUCGACUCGCGCCUGAGAGA